AGGUUACUGCUAUCGGUGUUCGGCCUAAGCCAUGCGAGUCAUAUGUUCGUAAGAACAUGGCGUACUGCUCAGUAACACGUGGAUAACCUGCCUUUGGGUCCGGCAUAACCCCGGGAAACUGGGGAUAAUUCCGGAUAACGCACAUAUGCUGGAAUGUUUUAUGCGUAAAAUGGAUUCGUCUGCCCAAGGAUGGGUCUGCGGCCUAUCAGGUAGUAGUGGGUGUAAUGUACCUACUAGCCUACGACGGGUACGGGUUGUGAGAGCAAGAGCCCGGAGAUGGAUUGUGAGACAUGAAUCCAGGCCCUACGGGGCGCAGCAGGCGCGAAAACUUUACAAUGCGGGAAACCGUGAUAAGGGGACACCGAGUGCCAGCAUCCUAUGCUGGCUGUCCGGGUGUGUAAAAUACACCUGUUAGCAAGGGCCGGGCAAGACCGGUGCCAGCCGCCGCGGUAACACCGGCGGCCCGAGUGGUGAUCGUGAUUAUUGGGUCUAAAGGGUCCGUAGCCGGUUUGGUCAGUCCUCCGGGAAAUCUGACAGCUUAACUGUUAGGCUUUCGGAGGAUACUGCCAGACUUGGAACCGGGAGAGGUAAGAGGUACUACAGGGGUAGGAGUGAAAUCUUGUAAUCCCUGUGGGACCACCUGUGGCGAAGGCGUCUUACCAGAACGGGUUCGACGGUGAGGGACGAAAGCUGGGGGCACGAACCGGAUUAGAUACCCGGGUAGUCCCAGCCGUAAACGAUGCUCGCUAGGUGUCAGGCAUGGCGCGACCGUGUCUGGUGCCGCAGGGAAGCCGUGAAGCGAGCCACCUGGGAAGUACGGCCGCAAGGCUGAAACUUAA
rnacentral:rRNA from 1 species